rnacentral:lncRNA from 1 species
GGUAAAGCCCAACAUAAGGAGGCAAGCUAUACCCUAGAAGAAGCAAGAAACUAAUCGUCUUGGCAACAAAACAAAGAGAAGAAAAGCACACAAUCAUAACCUCAUAUCCAAAUAUGAAUAUAACGGGAAGCAAUAAUCACUAUUCCUUAAUAUCUCUCAACAUCAAUGGUCUCAACUCCCCAAUAAAAAGGCACAGAUUAACAAACUGGAUACGCAGUGAGGACCCUGCAUUCUGCUACCUACAGGAAACACACCUCAGAGACAAAGACAGACAUUACCUCAGAGUGAAAGGCUGGAAAACAACUUUCCAAGCAAAUGGUUAGAAGAAGCAAGCUGGAGUAGCCAUUCUAAUAUCAAAUAAAAUCAAUUUUCAACUAAAAGUCAUCAAAAAGAUAAGGAAGGACACUUCAUAUUCAUCAAAGGAAAAAUCCACCAAGAUGAACUCUCAAUCCUAAAUAUCUAUGCCCCAAAUACAAGGGCACCUACAUACGUAAAAGAAACCUUACUAAAGCUCAAAACACACAUUGCACUUCACACAAUAAUAGUAGGAGAUUUCAACACCCCACUCUCAUCAAUGGACAGAUCAUGGAAACAGAAAUUAAACAGAG